CCUACGGGUGGCAGCAGUGGGGAAUAUUGCACAAUGGGGGAAACCCUGAUGCAGCGACGCCGCGUGAGUGAAGAAGUAUCUCGGUAUGUAAAGCUUCAUUAGCAGGGAAGUAAAUGACGGUACCUGACUAAGUAGCCCCGUUUAACUACGUGCCCGCUGCCGUGGUAAUAUGUAAGGGGCAAGCGUUAUCCGGAUUGAAUGGGGGUUAAGGGAGCGUAGGUGGCAUGGUAAGCCAGGAGGGGAAACCUGGGGCUCAACCCAGCAGAUUGCUUUUGGAACUAGAAGACUGGAGUGCGGGUGGGGUAGGCGGAAUGCGUGGUGUAGCGGUGAAAUGCAUAGAUAUUAGGAAGAACUCCGAUUGCGAAGGCAGCUUACUAAGCAAAAACUGACACUGAAGCUCGAAAGCGUGGGGAGCAAACAGGAUUAGAUACCCGGGUAGUC
rnacentral:rRNA from 1 species